ACUCCAUGAUGAGGGCAUUUUCUGACCAAAUCUUUGAACCUCUCCCAAGCUUCAUAAAGUGACUCUGAUCCAUGCUGCAUGAAAGAAGUGAUAUCAUUCCUCAACUU